rnacentral:rRNA from 1 species
GAUUUUGUACAAGGGGGGAAACCCUCAUCCAGCAAUGCCGCGUGCAGGAUGAAGGCCUUCGGGUUGUAAACUGCUUUUGUACGGAACGAAAAGUCUUGUGCUAAUACCCUGGGCUCAUGACGUUACCGUAAGAAUAAGCACCGGCUAACUACGUGCCAGCAGCCGCGGUAAUACGUAGGGUGCAAGCGUUAAUCGGAAUUACUGGGCGUAAAGCGUGCGCAGGCGGUUUUGUAAGACAGUGGUAAAAUCCCCGGGCUCAACCUGGGAACUGCCAUUGUGACUGCAAGGCUGGAGUGCGGCAGAGGGGGAUGGAAUUCCGCGUGUAGCAGUGAAAUGCGUAGAUAUGCGGAGGAACACCGAUGGCGAAGGCAAUCCCCUGGGCCUGCACUGACGCUCAUGCACGAAAGCGUGGGGGGCAAACAGG